rnacentral:rRNA from 1 species
AACGAACGCUGGCGGCAUGCCUAACACAUGCAAGUCGAACGAGACCUUCGGGUCGAGUGGCGCACGGGUGCGUAACGCGUGGGAACCUGCCCGUAGGUUCGGAAUAACUGCCCGAAAGGGGGGCUAAUACCGGAUAAUGUCGUCGGACCAAAGAUUUAUAGAGUUGGGAUGGGCCCGCGUUGGAUUAGCUAGUUGGUAGGGUAAAAGCCUACCAAGGCGACGAUCCAUAGCUGGUCUGAGAGGAUGAUCAGACACACUGGGACUGAGACACGGCCCAGACUCCUACGGGAGGCAGCAGUGGGGAAUAUUGGACAAUGGGCGACAGCAUGAUCCAGCAAUGCCGCGUGAGUGAUGAAGGCCUUAGAGUUGUAAAGCUCUUUUACCCGGGAUGAUAAUGACAGUACCGGGAGAAUAAGCUCCGGCUAACUCCGUG